UCCGAUUCGCGCUGUGCUCCGUUACGAUCGGAGCUACGCCUGCCUGCUCGUUUUAUACCACAGAUUCGGCAGAAUUCUCACCUACGACACAAAAUUUGGAUCAACUUGUAAAAAAGCAUAAGGAAAAUACAUAUACACACGCAAGGUGGAGGUUAUAGAUCUACCAGAUCUUCGCUCCCUUAACACGUUGGACCACACGUCACGCAGAAAUGGUUGGCACGACUUUUCAUUAAGGAACUAAAAAAAUGAAUUUCGAAGUCGCCUGCGAAUCGAUCCCUCGUGGGUCUAGCGCGAGUCCUCGGAACGCGUCGCCUCGAACUCGGAGCGUCGACUGUUCCACGAUGGCUCGCCGUUAGGUCGGUUCGAUUUAUCGACGACGAAGGGAUGAAUCCCGGAGCGUAGGGGCGCGUAAACGGGCAGGAGGGCGACGCUUGCAUAAAGUGGUGGAAAAUUCGGGUUGAAACCCGUGAAAGCGGGGAAAGAAGAUCAAUAAAGUGGUAUGCCAUACUGUCGGUGCCGCCGGUGUGCCGUUGUAGUAGCGGGUGGCCUGGCUGGUGUGUAUUAUUAAGCGGAGGUGUGGAGCCCAGCGAGAAGAGAGGCGGAAGAGACGCGGGGGAAGAUAAAGAGGGACGGAUGGAGUGACGAUAGACGAGAGAGGAACGCCAUCGGGUGAACACAGAGGGUAGAAAGGAGACCAGGCACGAUACGAUAGGGGGGAGAAACGAGUGGCGAAACGACCGAGCGAGAGACCAACCGUCGAAGGAGAACAGAGAAAAAGGGAUGGUGAGGAUGAACCAGGAACGAGAGAGGUAGCGGGAGCGGAAAAUAUGGAACAAGCGUAAUAAAAACUCGCGAGAAGAGAAGGCCAGCACUAGGAGUCCCGAGGAACUGCCGCCGAUCGACGCGGAUUAACAUUCUACUUUGGAAUCCUGAAACGAGGACUGCCGGAAAGAUGGGGCACGGGAAAUUUGGAACGUUCGGUUAGGAUGAUACAAUGAUUGAUAUCGAUCGCGUAUGAGGAGAGGUAGUGUACGAAAGCACAGUAGAACCUUACUUAUCCGAAGGCAAUUCCGAUGACAGAGUAGUUUAUAUAAAUGAGGUCCACUAGCUAUCCCCUCCAUGAGCCCAGCUACUGAGGACUAGUGGAUACUGGACUCAGCUAAUGGAGGCUAGAGGGUAUUAAGCUCAGCUGCUGAGAGCUAGAGGAUACAUGGCUGAACUACGAGUUCGUAUAUUCGAGGCUGAGGCAACCAACCACCCUGAAGAUCAGCUUAGAUAACAAGAAAUGCAUAUCAAAAGUUAUAUCUUAUUUGCAAAGGACAAAAAUUUCUAGAGAAAUAUAAACAAGAAUUAACAAGACACUACAAGCGUCUAAAAUAUACGUUUAAUUAUUAUGCUUUAUGCUAUAUAAAAUGAUUGUUACGUGUAAGUAUUAGUUAUUCUAACCAUAAGUUAUUCUGUAUUUAUUUUAAUUAUAUUAUGACUCAGGUAUGUAUGUAAAGAAAGUAUACUUUCUUUAAUUUGAAUUUGGAUUUGCCGCGUUUCUUAUGCUCCGCGCGCCAAUCGGAUUCUGUGUAGAGAGAGACGGAAGCAGAGAAUAUAAUAUAACAGAGCACGUGUGUAGAAUAUACAGAGAAAUAAAAUUUACAAUAAUUGGAAAGAUAUCUAGAGUGUAAAUAAAGAAAUAAUAGUAAUAGGGUUUAAUCGUCGUUUCCUAAUUUAUAAGUGAGAGUGUAAACAUUGUAAAUAUUGUAAAUAUUAUAAUUAGUGAAUAAAAUUCUAUCGCUAACCCUGAGUCAUU